rnacentral:misc_RNA from 1 species
GAUUAAGAACGUAGCGAAAUGCGAUAAGUAGUGUGAAUUGCAGAAUUCAGUGAAUCAUCGAAUCUUUGAACGCACAUUGCGCCCCUUGGUAUUCCAUGGGGCAUGCCUGUUCGAGCGUCAUUUGUACCUUCAAGCUUUGCUUGGUGUUGGGUGUUUGUCUCGCCUCUGCGUGUAGACUCGCCUUAAAACAAUUGGCAGCCGGCGUAUUGAUUUCGGAGCGCAGUACAUCUCGCGCUUUGCACUCAUAACGACGACGUCCAAAAGUACAUUUUUACACUCUUGACCUCGGAUCAGGUAGGGAUACCCGCUGAACUUAAGCAUAUCAAUAAGCGGAGGA